UUGCACUGUUCGUAACCUGGCUCAGUCCUCCAGUGUGAGCUUUGGGUUCCAUUCCAGUGCCACAGUAAAUCCCAGAGAUUGAC
rnacentral:snoRNA from 1 species